rnacentral:rRNA from 1 species
GUAGGGACCAAGCGUUGUUCGGAUUUACUGGGCGUAAAGGGCGCGUAGGCGGCUUAACAAGUCACUUGUGAAAUCUCUGGGCUUAACCCAGAACGGCCAAGUGAAACUGUUAUGCUAGAGUGCAGAAGGGGCAAUCGGAAUUCUUGGUGUAGCGGUGAAAUGCGUAGAUAUCAAGAGGAACACCUGAGGUGAAGACGGGUUGCUGGGCUGACACUGACGCUGAGGCGCGAAAGCCAGGGGAGUAAACGGGAUUAGAUACCCCGGUAGUCCCGGCCCUAAACGAUGAAUACUUGGUGUCUGGAGUCAUUAUUGCUCCGGGUGCCGUCGCUAACGUUUUAAGUAUUCCGCCUGGGGAGUACGCACGCAAGUGUG